AGUGCAGCUACUAUUAUAGGUUAUUUUAUACAUACUUGUAACCAACAAUAAAUCAUUGCGAAAAACCGAUUCUGAGUGGAGUUCGGUUGAUAGUGAUUCUUUGUCAACAAUAUAUGUCAUAUUUGAGUAAAAUAAUUAAAUAGGCUUUAUAUAUUUUCAUUAGUAAUAUUUGUUUAAUGUUGUCCAGAUUUUCUCAGUUUUCCUACGUUUUUCCUCUGUAAAAUACAUUCCCAGUCAAAUUUUCUUUAAGAAAAUAUUCUAACUACAGAUCUAUAAGCUAUCGUUAUAAAUUGGAGCAAAAUUGCUGGUAGAAAAGUUGUUCACA